rnacentral:sRNA from 1 species
ACGUGAUCUAUUUUUCAGAACAGCAAGUGGAUGGGAAAGAACUUUGACAACACAAAACUCAUUUACUAAUGGACUGGUUUUGGGUUUCUCUUCUCUGAGUCCGCAAAUCUCUCUGCCUGAGCCCCAGGCCUAUUCAGACCUCGCGGGGAGCGGCGUCCCCCAGGAGCAGGUGGGCUGCUGCUCCGGCGCCACGCCGGCCAUCGGAGCCGGAGUUCCCAGGGGUCGAGGGCACCCGGAGUUUCCGACUAAGCAGAGGAAAAAGAAUUUUGGCACUUCAGCCCGGAUUUGGGGAGUCUCCGCACUGCCCCAGAGCGAUGACACGAAUUUAUUGAAGAAACACCUCUCUAUGCCCUCCCUUUCCAAAUAUUUGUAGGUAGAGUAGAAUCCUCACCGUCGUUCUGGAUGGUCAAAGAAUUCCAAGAAAGCGGCCCGGGAGCCCCAAACUAUCUUGCUCCAAGCCAGAAGGGAAACAAGUGGGUCCCAGCUAGGGGUGUUUGCAUCAAGGCCUGUCAACCCAGCCGAGAAACCCUAGCAACAGCUAAUGCUGUCCCACUGAAUGCUUUUUCAUCGACUAAAGCGCACGCGGCCGUUACCUGCACAGAGGAGGCACUGGAGAGCCGAAACCUGGCAUCGGGCGCUCCUUGCCAGCGGUGUUCCCUCCCGAGCCGCGCUGCAGCGAGGGCAGCAGCCGGCUGGCUAGAGUUGCUCAUUUCCUUUAAAUCUCCAACGCAUCUCUGCUUUUCGUGCGAUUUGCAUUGACAGCAAAGGUUUUAUGUUACGAGAACAACUCAAACCUUUCUGUGUGCGAUUUAAAAUGGAUCAUUUAGUUUAGGUGGUUUGUAAAUUCAUGUCAUUUUACCUCUUUCAGCGGUUUUCAGUGAAAGGUUCCAUUUUGGGAAACCUUAUAUAUCCGAGCCAAUAAUUAACAUUUAUAACAAUUGGUUCCCCUAACCGAGGGAUCGAAAUAGCAGGUAGACUCCUUGGUAUAAAGCGCAUAGCACUUUCCCUUUCCAGUUACGCGAUCUAUUGGAUUAAGCGGGAGGAAAAAUGUUGGCCGGCCCAGUCACGGCCUCCGAGGAAGAACACCUCUUUUCUGCCCGGGUUCCCGCAAUCACACCUUCUACACGUCGUCUUCCCAGAUGACGGCAAUGUAUAGUACGUCCUGGUUCCUUUUGAAGACAGAUAAAAAGAAAUGGGCAGGGAGAACACCGAAAACAAUAACUCCUCCUCCAACAAGCAGAACCAACUCUCUCCUCUGGAAGGGGGCAAGCCGCUCAUGUCCAGCUCAGAAGAGGAAUUCUCACCUCCCCAAAGUCCAGACCAGAACUCGGUCCUUCUGCUGCAGGGCAAUAUGGGCCACGCCAGGAGCUCAAACUAUUCUCUCCCGGGCUUAACAGCCUCGCAGCCCAGUCACGGCCUGCAGACCCACCAGCAUCAGCUCCAAGACUCUCUGCUCGGCCCCCUCACCUCCAGUCUGGUGGACUUGGGGUCCUAAGUGGGGAGGGACUGGGGCCUCGAAGGGAUUCCUGGAGCAGCAACCACUGCAGCGACUAGGGACACUUGUAAAUAGAAAUCAGGAACAUUUUUGCAGCUUGUUUCUGCAGUUCUUUGCGCAUAAAGGAAUGGUGGACUUUCACAAAUAUCUUUUUAAAAAUCAAAACCAACAGCGAUCUCAAGCUUAAUCUCCUCUUCUCUCCAACUCUUUCCACUUUUGCAUUUUCCUUCCCAAUGCAGAGAUCAGGGGAAAAAAAAAAAAAAACCCAAACAAACAAAAGCACCCAGGCACCCAGUCUGAGUUCUGGGCAACUGAUACGCCUGUUUCAGCAGCCUUUCUUUUUUUUCAAUGAAUGGGAAUUGCAAAUCAACUGGAUUUUCAUUAUUUCUUUUAAUUUAUAUAUGGAGAAAUGUGAAGAGGGAAAGGAAAUGGAAAGAGAAAGAGAAAGGGAGAUAAAAAUAGUGAAAAUAAGAGCCUCCAGGCUCAGAAGAACUGAUUACAUUCUUAAGGUGAACAGGAAAAAUACAAUCUAUAACUUUCUUUGAUGAGGAAAAAUUAAGUUUACAUUUUUCAUAUUUAGUGUUAAACAAUUUAAUGUAGAUUAAAAUAAAAGACCAGUAUUAGGAGGAAAAAACAAGUGCCUAAAUGUCUUAAUGCUCUCUAUGUGAGACAGAAAUAGACGUGACCAUUAGUAAUGCAACUAUUUUUGUCAAAUUUAGUGGGAUUUUUUGGUUGUUGUUUGUUUUCUUGGGUUUUUUUUUUUUAAAUGACAAACUCUAAAAAUGUACCAAUGUGAAAAAACACUUUCCUGAAUGCCAUUACUCAUGCCCUCAAAGCUUUCAUAUCUGUAGCCUACUCCUGUAAAGGGUUUCUCCUGUUUCUAGUUUCUAGUUUGCAAAGGUAUGCCAACGAAUCUGGCAACCUGGUAUUUGUUACUAAAACAGCAUGUGUUUUCAGGUUUCUUUUCUAUUGUACCUAAAGCAGUCUAAAUUAAAACUUAGUAGAACACCAGGAGUAUGAUUCUGUUUCUGAAAGGUGAGUGGUGUAUUGCUGUCAUUGGGCCCUAUUUUUUUUUUUUAAAUAUAUUUUUCUUUCUUACUUAAUGGUGGCUGUGAAUUGCAGGGUACUUUGAAGGCCAUCAUCUGAACCAAGAGUAGUAACUAGAUUAAUUAUAUGACAGAAAGAGUGAAUUUAGCCUUGGGGUAUUUAUUAACUUCUAUUAUUUAGAUAUGCAAUUUUGUUUACCACUAUCUCUUCACAGCAUUCAUAUGUUAACUAAACUCUUUUGUGUUAACAAGUUUAUGACAAGACUGUGAAAGUAAAAAUAAUUUAUCUGCUUGAAGACAAAAAA